UUAGUUAUAAUUAAACAACAUUAAAGAAGUUUUGAUAUCACAUAGUGAUUACCUUAU
rnacentral:tRNA from 1 species